rnacentral:rRNA from 1 species
UACGGAGGAUCCAAGCGUUAUCCGGAUUAUUGGGUUAAAGGGUGCGUAGGCGGCCUAUUAAGUCAGGGGUGAAAGACGGUAGCUUAACUAUCGCAGUGCCUUUGAUACUGAUAGGCUUGAAUGUACUUGAGGUAGGCGGAAUGUGACAAGUAGCGGUGAAAUGCAUAGAUAUGUCACAGAACACCAAUUGCGAAGGCAGCUUACUAAAGUAUGAUUGACGCUGAGGCACGAAAGCGUGGGGAUCAAACAGG